rnacentral:rRNA from 1 species
AAUGGCGGCUGCUUUACCAUGCAAGUCGAACGGCAGCACGGGUGCUUGCACCUGGUGGCGAGUGGCGAACGGGUGAGUAAUACAUCGGAACAUGUCCUGUAGUGGGGGAUAGCCCGGCGAAAGCCGGAUUAAUACCGCAUACGAUCUACGGAUGAAAGCGGGGGACCUUCGGGCCUCGCGCUAUAGGGUUGGCCGAUGGCUGAUUAGCUAGUUGGUGGGGUAAAGGCCUACCAAGGCGACGAUCAGUAGCUGGUCUGAGAGGACGACCAGCCACACUGGGACUGAGACACGGCCCAGACUCCUACGGGAGGCAGCAGUGGGGAAUUUUGGACAAUGGGCGAAAGCCUGAUCCAGCAAUGCCGCGUGUGUGAAGAAGGCCUUCGGGUUGUAAAGCACUUUUGUCCGGAAAGAAAUCCUUGACUCUAAUACAGUCGGGGGAUGACGGUACCGGAAGAAUAAGCACCGGCUAACUACGUGCCAGCAGCCGCCGGUAAU